rnacentral:rRNA from 1 species
UACGAAGGACCCGAGCGUUAUCCGGAAUUAUUGGGCGUAAAGAGCUCGUAGGCGGUUUGUCGCGUCUGCCGUGAAAGUCCGGGGCUCAACUCCGGAUCUGCGGUGGGUACGGGCAGACUAGAGUGAUGUAGGGGAGACUGGAAUUCCUGGUGUAGCGGUGAAAUGCGCAGAUAUCAGGAGGAACACCGGUGGCGAAGGCGGGUCUCUGGGCCGUAACUGACGCUGAGGAGCGAAAGCGUGGGGAGCGAACAGG